rnacentral:lncRNA from 1 species
AUGCUCGUCAUAUACAAAUACAGAUUGGUACCACAUACAUGUGCUUAAGUUACCACAUUUGCUCCCAUGUUACCACUCAGACCCUCUUUCUGAGUACUUGAGUGAAAAGGAAAAGGACACAAUCCAUCAUUUUUUUAGUCCUGAAGCAAGUAUGCGUUGGCUAUAGAAAGUUCACCAAUUUUUCUUCAGUCCACAACGUCCAAAGAAAAUAUAGCGGUCGCAUAAGCCUGAAAUUGUCAUCAGUGUCUUACACCAAUAGUACAGGAGCACUAUGUAAAUUAUUGACAUAUAUUGAAAUGUACCGGGCCUUGUUAUAUCAGCAACAGGGAGUCAGGGACAUACAAAGAUGUUCCUAAAUUCAGUAAUAACUGAAACAGAUCAGAAUCACUCUGUACUCUUACAUCAAGUGUUCCUAAAUUCAGUAAUAACUGAAACAGCUCAGCGUCACUCGUAGUCUUAAAUCAAGAAUAUUGAUUAACAUACUACAUAUUUAGAGUAUUUAGCUCGUACCACUGGGCAGCAAAAAAAGGACUGCAAAAAUUAGCAUGAACCCAGAACUGCACGCUCAUGUUUCCCUGACCUGCAGGUAGCUCUCUUGUCAACCCAUUUUACUUUGGGUCACAAAUAUUUCUAACCUUCAAGUAAUUAUUAUUUCCACUGAUACAUAGUACAGUAGUAAGUAGUUUACAAACCAACACAAGAGGGAUAUUCAUUCACAUUGUUUGCCUUACCUACUGCUAACGACACGCACAUUCACUACACUCUCUACUUCAUCUCCUGCACAAAUAAGUAUCUCACACUUGUCAACAUGAAGCCAGGAUGCCUCUCAGUUUUGGUUCAUAGGUUUCGUACAUACAUCGAUUUGACUCAAAUAUGUUGCACCAUAAUUACCAAAUACUACCUGUCUAUAUGUUCCAUACAUCUACCUCAUUGAACCCAUUGUAGAUAUAGUAAUUGUAGACUGUUAAACCAGUAAUAACAGGAGUCUAUUUUAGCUGGAUAUUUGCGGAUUCAGUUGCGCAGAUUGCUGAAGAAAAU